CCCCGCGAUGGCCCCGGUAGGAGUUUGGGGGAAGUCGCGCGGUGUGUCCUCCUCACCUGCAGUAGGUGUCGGGGGUGGCAGCCGUGGAGGCCUUGGGCGGAGUCCGGGGAGUGUUUGGAGCCGGGAUUACCAAGAAACCUCGUGGCUCGCUGAGUGGCCCGUGGCGGUCGGCUGCCAUCUCUGCCCAGCGAGGGCUUUUCCACCCGGACGUUGCCAUUCGUCACCUGCCGUACUAGUUGCAACCCUCAUGCCACGUCUGCAGAAAUAACCAUAACCUUGCUGCCUGCUGAGGCUGUUUAUUGAGAGCCCACCGAGUCCCAAGCGCUGUGCAUAGUUAGCUUCAAUUCUUAAAUCUUUGCAAGUUUCUGGACCAGCAGAGCUGAGGGUGUCCAAGCUUGUUCUGAGGCGACUCAACUGAGGUCAGCCCCAUGGCUAUUCCACAUGCUUCAAAUAAAACUUCCUAUUUGCUGCCUCCAAACAAGGACAACUGGGAAGGUCAGGGUAUUCCUGACUUUGUCUACGGGCAGGAGGAACUCGUGAUGGAAGGGGUUCAGUGGCCAAGGGGUGCGCUCAGCCUCCUGAACACGCCACCACUGUCUCCCUUUGACUCUGCCCUCUGCUCAGCCUGGAGGCAGCGGAUGGAGAUGGGGCUGUUCCGCUACCCACUGGGGGAGCUGCCAACCCAAACCCUCCCUGGGACCAUGGGUUUUGUGGCUCAGCUGAACGUGGAGCGAGGUGUGCAGAGAAGGCGCCCCCAGAACAUCAAGAGUGUGAGGCAGGAGUUUGACCCUGAACAGUUUAACUUCAACCAGAUCCGGCCAGGAGAGGUCCUUUUUCGUCUACACCGGAAGCGGGACUGCCCCGGCACUGUCCAACAAGAGGACAUCCUGGUGGUGAUCAACGUCAGCCCCUUGGAGUGGGGCCACGUGCUGCUGGUGCCUGAACCUGCCAGGGGGCUCCCCCAGCGCCUGCUGCCCGGGGCGCUGCGGGCCGGGGUCGAGGCUGUACUGCUGAGCUCACACCCGGGCUUCCGCGUGGGCUUCAACAGCCUGGGUGGCCUGGCCUCGGUGAACCACCUCCACCUGCAUGGCUACUACCUGGCACACCGGCUGCCCGUGGAGGGGGCCCCCAGUGAACCCCUGGACCCUCGGGGCCGUCUGCAUGUGCUCCAGGCCCUCCCAGCUCCUGGCUUCCUCUUUUACACCAGUAGGCCAGGGCCUGACUUGGAAGCCUUGAUAAGCAGGGUGUGUCGGGCCACUGACUACCUGACUGACUGUGAGAUUGCGCAUAACUUGUUUGUCACCCGGGGGGCCCCUCCUGGAAAGACAUCAUCUUCCUCAGCUCUCUCGGGAGUCCGGGUCAUUCUGUGGCCCCGGAAGCCCAGCUUUGGGAUAAAGGAAGGUCAGGCAUUCAACGUUGCCCUCUGUGAGCUGGCUGGGCACCUCCCGGUCAAAACGGCCCAAGACUUCAGCAGCCUGACAGAGGCGGCCUCUCUGGCCCUCAUCAGAGAAUGUCUGCUGCCCCCAGCCCAGGCAGAAGAUGUGCGGGCUGCGCUGGUGGCCUUGAUAGCCCGGGAGGAAGAGUAAUCCUCCCAGCGGUAUUCUAACUGAUCCGGAGAACUGUCCAUCGUGGUGCUGUGAGCGCAUUCAUGAAUGCCUUCUCACUGGUUUCAGCAUAAGGGGAGGGAUAAAGAACCGAACCCUGGCCAUCAGUCUGACCAACUGCAACUAUGAGAGUGAAGCACCUAGCUCAUCACUCAAAUGACUGGGCAUCAGAGGAUAUUUAGGGUUGCAGUUUUCACUCUGAAGACCGCUCUCGCCAUUUGCUCGCAGCCCCUGGAUCUCGUUCAGUUCAGUUCAGUCACUCAGUGGAGUCCAACUCUUUGUGACUCCACGGACUGCAACAUGCCAGGCCUCCCUGUCUAUCACCAACUUCUGGAGCUUACUCAAACUCAUGUCCAUUGAGUCAGUGAUGCCAUCCAACCAUCUCAUCUUCUGUUGUCCCCUUGUCUCCCGCCUUCAAUUUUUCCCAGCAUCAGGGCCUUUUCCAGUGAGUCAGUCCUUUGAGUCAGGUGGCCAAAGUAUUGGAGUUUCAGCUUCAGGAUCAGUCCUUCCAAUUGAUAUACAGGACUGAUUUCCUUUAGGGUUAACUGGUUUGAUCUCCUUGCAAUCCAAGGGACUCGCAAGAGUCUUCUCCAACACCACAGUUCAAAAGCUUCAAUUCGUUAGGCUGACUUACAACUUGUCAUCUCCGUCCUUCAAACCUUAGCCUAGAUUUACCGCUAAAUCUGGACUCUCGGUGCAGCCCUGGCCUAGAGGUCAUCCAGGCGACAAGAAGUCCGUUUCCUAGAGGAGUUCAGUUCCCACAGCUCGGGGCUGUCGCCAUCAGAGAACCGCUGAGGGGACGCCCUUCCUGUGACCGUGGC